rnacentral:lncRNA from 1 species
AUUUAACAUUAUAGAUUAAACAUUAUAAAUUACUAUUACAAAAUUGAUUCUUUCUCAUACAUGUAUCGGUAUUUCUUAAAAUUGUAUCUCGAAAUGUAACCGCAAAAGUCUACCAUUAACGAUUGAGGAGAGGUCUGGGAAAUCCUGCAUAAUCUUAUUAACUGACGGCAAACGCUAAUUCAAUUUUUAUUGAAAGGUUAAGACAUUAAAACAACAUUGUGUGCAACUGUAUUUAAUUACGAUGAUAAUCGAAGGAAUUUAUGUUUUGAAAGCUGUUUACUAUAAUUUGACUCGAGUUUUAAAAACCGCGGUUCAAGUAUUCAUUUAAUUAAUCAUUAGUUAUUAGACAGCCAUAACAUUCUCGAUUAAUUAAAAAAAAAAAAGAACAAGGUCCGCUACGCAAACAGCUUCUACUUUCUUAUUUCGGCGUUCGCAAGAACCGCGCGAAAGGUCGCGCGUAGGCCGUCGUGGAAGCCGGAGAUCGUUGCCGGUGUGCGCGAGGGAAUUGUAGAAUAUUCGUAACCACUGUAUUAACGAGCGGAUUAAUGUCGUGCGCAGCGUGGCGAGUUGUGUUGCGUGGAUUUGACGGGCGUGAGAAAUGGCAGAAAUUAAACGAAUGUCUGAACGCGCAAAUGGAUAAACGAUCAAGCGCACCUAUUGCCAUCGUUGCACCAUUCAGCAAACCGCGUAGGCGACCGCGUGUCCGUUCAAGGAUUCGAAAUCGCACAAUAGUGAACUGCAAAAACCAUAUGUUACACGAGAGAGAUCCGCUUAGUGGAAAUGUUUCGCGAGACAGCUCGCAUUAAGUAUUUAAUUGGCAACAAUCAUCUGUCGCACAUGAAAAUUUAAUGAAGGAUCAACGAAGCAAAGAUGUCAGCGACCGGCGCGAUGAUGUCGGAAAACAACGCGCAGAAAGAGACUAAAACGGAGAAAAGAGACGCACAGAAGACGAAGAAGCGUAUUACAUACUGUGACUUUGCGCAGCACCGUUGGAUAAAAAUAUUCCUGCGCGAAAAUAGAACCGGCAACACUCCGGCACAGCCCACCGAACACCCGCAAUUCCUGAGCCAUACUUGGCCUAGUCGAUCGGGUUUCAACGCCUUACGAGAAUCCGCUUAGGCAACAAGUGGACGAAUCGAAGCGGACGUUUGUUCCGCGGGAAAACAUGUGGUCUUCCGCACUAUUGGCAGAAGUGCAACUAGGUUAAAAACGGAAAGUCAGCCACCGUGCUCGGGAACAUGUCAAGGUGAUGCAACGGCCAGAAAAAAAGGAAUCCUUCAAAAAGAUUUCGUUCUUACGCGCGACCAACCAAUCGUCCAAAUUCUUAAAGUCACAGACCAAUUGCUCACCUAUUGCGACCUACUAAGACAAACCGUGAUCCAUUGGCUUGAUUACGACGCCGCUGUGGAUCCGUAAUUACGCAUAAACACCCGCGCAAACAGCACAGCGUAGCGACAGUAUCCCACGUGGAGAACAGUAACUCAUUGUGAGGCUGUUCGAAGAGACGAGAGUGAGAUGUUCGAUCGAGAAACGGUCUUAUUUUCUGUCGGUUACCUUUUUGCCGAUAUUCAAAUAAUGCAGCCGGUGAUUUUAGAUUUACUUUAAAUAAAACACGUAGAAUAUCGAUGAUUUCACAUAAUACUACCGUUUGAUUCUAUUUCAAAAAGUAUCCACGGUCAUCCAAAAACACGCUGUCAGAAAUGUGUUAAUUAAAAAUCGCUUUAGUCCGGAUCUACAGUAGGUGUUUUAAGUCUUAAGCCGUAAGAAAUUGAUCGACUACAAUCGAAUGCGAGGAGAAUAAUUAAUUGUGAUUCGUCUAUUCCUAUAGCUUAAGGCUUAAAAAUCUAUUAUAGAUCCAGCUCGUUCAAUAUCGAACACUGCU